AUGCUGAAAUUCUGUAUGGGUGGGUCUGGGGCACUCCUGUUGCUGUCCUGCUCGUUCCAGCUGAUUGCCAACAAAAUUACAAAGCUGCCUGAGCGUGUUGGUUCUGUUCUGCAUAAAUUUGUAAGGAGAAUCCAAAGACUUCGCAGAAUCCAAAGACUGUAUAAUAGGAAAAUCACAGAAAAAGACUUCAGAAUGUUUCUGAAGAUGAAGAAGAGAUUGAUUUGCCACCCAGGAUGGCAUUCAAGGAGCUGUUGCCGAGAGGCUCUUGGGACAGCACGGGCAGGAUCCAGGGUGCCAGGCAGCUCCAGAAGGGAGCAAACCUCCACAGCAUGCUCCAGGUUUCUCUUCAUCCUCCCUCUUCCUCACUCACCAGCACUGGGCACCAACUGGUUUGUUGGUACAAGAGAGGCUGAAGCCUCCUUCAGCUGUCACAUCCUGAAUCCCUGCCAAGUUUGUGUUGCAAGAACUGAUGCCAGUGUUUUUAACCCAGAGUGUAUUUGGCCCCUAGUGUUCUCCAUGACAUAGAAUAAACAUUAGGGAGGAGAUUCA
rnacentral:lncRNA from 1 species